CACUGCAGGCCAGGGCCUUAACCAGCUGCACCACAGCGCCGGCCCCACAUGCACAGAUUUACACCAAAAUAGGCAUCUUUUGAUCCCCUUUUCCAUGAUCUUUUUAAAGUGACUUUGGCACAGGGGAGCUCAUCAGGAAAAGCCCCAGAAAGGAAUCUAAACAAUGACUCCCGGGAGCUCUAAUUGGAAGAGAGCUGGUGUGCCCGCACCUGGAAGCUGCCCCUUCCUUGUCAUCGGUGUGAUCUCCGCGUGGUUAGUUGUCUUCCAGUCUACAGUAGUUCAGGACAGUAAAUUUUUUUUUUAAAUUUAUUUGACAGGUAGAAUUAUAGACAGUGAGAGAGAGAGACAGAGAGAAAGGUCUUCCUUCCGUUGGUUCACUCCCCAAAUGGCCGCCACAGCCGACGCUGCACCUAUCCAAAGCCAGGAGCCAGGUGCUUCCUCCUGGUCUCCCAUGUGCCAAGCACUUGGGCCAUCCUCCAUUGCCCUCCCGGGCCACAGCAGAGAGCUGGACUGGAAGAGGAGCAACCGGGACUAGAACCCUGGUUGCCGGCACUGCAGGUGGAGGAUUAGCCAAGUGAGCCACAGCGCCGGCCCCUCAGGCAGGCUGAUGAAUGAGACAAACAGACUCAGCAUACUCAGGGCCUUGAGUGGCAGGCAAAGCUCUCUGCACCACUUGCAACAGAGUCAUCAAGAAGAAGCUUGAAACUCCUUCAAGAAGGCUGCAAUUUCACAGCAUUUCCAUGGAAAUUCAGGACUGGAAGUGGACGUCAACUCUUGCUGCCCCUGUUCUCUCCUGCCCCUGGGCUGGUGUGUGCUGCCCCUUCAUCACAACGCACAAUGACUUGUUUAAUGACUGGGGCCAAGGCUUACAGUGCGGAUGACCUUGGAAGAAAUAACACAUUGGCUUGAACUUGUAGUAGGUCGGAAAUGAUUGAUUCCCUAGAACUGUUUUUGCUGGACUAUGGGGGGGGGAGGGGUGGUCCUGAAGUGUGUGUGUGUGUGUGUUGUGUGUGUGUCUGUGUGGUGUCAUCAGUGAGAAGACAGAAGGCACAGGUGCUCCUGAUGCAAUUUAUCACCCCAAAGUGUAAGUUGCCAGUAUCGCAAGCACCGCCCACAGGUGCACUUGCACACACACACACACACACACACCCAGGAGCUCUGAUAACUCAUCUCCCCUCUGAAAGUACUUUUAUCUCCUGGAGUUGGUGCCA